AGAGUUUGAUCCUGGCUCAGGAUGAACGCUAGCUACAGGCUUAACACAUGCAAGUCGAGGGGAAACGAUGAGAGAGCUUGCUCUCUUAGGCGUCGACCGGCGCACGGGUGAGUAGCGCGUAUCCAACCUGCCCAUUACAGGGGAAUAACCUUGCGAAAGUAAGACUAAUGCCCCAUGGUAUUCUCAGCAGACAUCUAAUGAGGAUUAAAGAUUUAUCAGUAAUGGAUGGGGAUGCGUCUGAUUAGCUUGUUGGCGGGGUAACGGCCCACCAAGGCAACGAUCAGUAGGGGUUCUGAGAGGAAGGUCCCCCACAUUGGAACUGAGACACGGUCCAAACUCCUACGGGAGGCAGCAGUGAGGAAUAUUGGUCAAUGGGCGAGAGCCUGAACCAGCCAAGUAGCGUGCAGGAAGACGGCCCUAUGGGUUGUAAACUGCUUUUAUAGGGGAAUAAAGUGGACUACGUGUAGUUUAUUGUAUGUACCCUAUGAAUAAGGACCGGCUAAUUCCGUGCCAGCAGCCGCGGUAAUACGGAAGGUUCGGGCGUUAUCCGGAUUUAUUGGGUUUAAAGGGAGCGUAGGCCGUAGAUUAAGCGUGUUGUGAAAUGUAGAUGCUCAACAUCUGACUUGCAGCGCGAACUGGUUUACUUGAGUGUGCGCAACGUAGGCGGAAUUCGUCGUGUAGCGGUGAAAUGCUUAGAUAUGACGAAGAACUCCGAUUGCGAAGGCAGCUUACGGGAGCACAACUGACGCUGAAGCUCGAAGGUGCGGGUAUCAAACAGGAUUAGAUACCCCGGUAGUCCAA
rnacentral:rRNA from 1 species